UACGUAGGAUGCAAGCGUUGUCCGGAAUUAUUGGGCGUAAAGAGCGCGCAGAGGUAACUCAAGUCAGAUGUGAAAUAUCCGGGCUUAACCCGGAGGGGUCAUUUGAAACUGAGUAACUAGAGUACAGCAGAGGAUAGCGGGAAUUCCCGGUGUAGUGGUGAAAUGCGUAGAUAUCGGGAGGAACACCAGUGGCGAAGGCGGCUAUCUGGGCUGAAACUGACGCUGAGGCGCGAAAGGCUAGGGGAGCAAACAGG
rnacentral:rRNA from 1 species